rnacentral:lncRNA from 1 species
CAGUGCUCAGUGAGCUACGAAAGAGAAUACACGAUUUUAGGACAGUAGUGGGCUUAAGACAAUAAACAUGCACUCGCGCCUCUUGAUUUUGGUUCUUCAUGAGUUCCCUGACCAUAAUCAGAUGCCUCACCAUUGAAGCUUUCACUUCAGUAGUACUGGAAACUUUUAAGUUGCGAAUGAGAAGCGUUACAGAAUAGCCGAGACAAAAAGAUAGACUGGCAGUCUCCACGUAAUAGAAGGAUUAUAUCCCGACUUUGAAAUGAAAAGAUUGUUGAUAUCCCAUAUCAGUUUAGUUUUCAUCAGCCUUUUAUAAUAAUACAUAAAGUCAAAGAAAAAAAAUGCAAAAAAUCAGAAUAUUAUUUCUAUCUCAAUCAAAUUUUGCAAGGAAAUCCUAGAGAUAUGAAGAAUUUUAAUACUUUAAAAUUAUAACAAGCAGAACCGAAGUAAGCAAGUACUCC